AACGAACGCUGGCGGCAUGCCUAACACAUGCAAGUCGAACGGAAGUAAGAAGCUUGCUUUUUACUUUAGUGGCGCACGGGUGAGUAACGCGUGGAUAAUCUGCCUGAUGCUCUGGGAUAACAUCUCGAAAGGGGUGCUAAUACCGGAUAAGCCCACGGAGUCUUCGGACUUUGCGGGAAAAGGGGGGGACCUUCGGGCCUUCCGAGAUCAGAUGAGUCCGCGUCCCAUUAGCUAGUUGGUGGUGUAAAGGACCACCAAGGCGACGAUGGGUAGCUGGUCUGAGAGGAUGAUCAGCCACACUGGAACUGAGACACGGUCCAGACUCCUACGGGAGGCAGCAGUGGGGAAUUUUGCGCAAUGGGGGCAACCCUGACGCAGCAAUGCCGCGUGAGUGAUGAAGGCUUUCGGGUCGUAAAGCUCUGUCAGAAGGGAAGAAAUGUAGGUGGCUAAUAUCCAUUCUACUUGACGGUACCUUCAAAGGAAGCACCGGCUAACUCCGUGCCAGCAGCCGCCGUAAAAC
rnacentral:rRNA from 1 species